rnacentral:rRNA from 1 species
AUUGAACGCUGGCGGCAUGCUUUACACAUGCAAGUCGAACGGUAACAGGCCUUCGGGUGCUGACGAGUGGCGAACGGGUGCGUAAUGCAUCGGAACGUACCCAGAGGUGGGGGAUAACGCAGCGAAAGCUGUGCUAAUACCGCAUGUGAUCUGAGGAUGAAAGCGGGGGACCGAGCAGCAAUGUUUGGCCUCGCGCCUUUGGAGCGGCCGAUGUCGGAUUAGCUAGUUGGUGGGGUAAAGGCCUACCAAGGCGACGAUCCGUAGCUGGUCUGAGAGGACGACCAGCCACACUGGGACUGAGACACGGCACAGACUCCUACGGGAGGCAGCAGUGGGGAAUUUUGGACAAUGGGCGCAAGCCUGAUCCAGCAAUGCCGCGUGCGGGAAGAAGGCCUUCGGGUUGUAAACCGCUUUUGGCAGGAACGAAACGGUGUCCGCUAAUACCGGGCGCUAAUGACGGUACCUGCAGAAUAAGCACCGGCUAACUACGUG